rnacentral:rRNA from 1 species
GGGGACCCGCAAGCGGUGGAUGAUGUGGAUUAAUUCGAUGCAACGCGAAAAACCUUACCUACCCUUGACAUGUACGGAAGCCUUGAGAGAUCAGGGCGUGCUCGAAAGAGAGCCGUAACACAGGUGCUGCAUGGCUGUCGUCAGCUCGUGUCGUGAGAUGUUGGGUUAAGUCCCGCAACGAGCGCAACCCUUGUCAUUAGUUGCUACGAAAGGGCACUCUAAUGAGACUGCCGGUGACAAACCGGAGGAAGGUGGGGAUGACGUCAAGUCCUCAUGGCCCUUAUGGGUAGGGCUUCACACGUCAUACAAUGGUACAUACAGAGGGCCGCCAACCCGCGAGGGGGAGCUAAUCCCAGAAAGUGUAUCGUAGUCCGGAUCGCAGUCUGCAACUCGACUGCGUGAAGUUGGAAUCGCUAGUAAUCGCGGAUCAGCAUGUCGCGGUGAAUACGUUCCCGGGUCUUGUACACACC